AGCGAACGCUGGCGGCAGGCCUAACACAUGCAAGUCGAACGAACCCUUCGGGGUUAGUGGCGGACGGGUGAGUAACACGUGGGAACGUACCUUUAGGUUCGGAACAACACAGGGAAACUUGUGCUAAUGCCGAAUGUGCCCUUCGGGGGAAAGAUUUAUCGCCUUUAGAGCGGCCCGCGUCUGAUUAGCUUGUUGGUGAGGUAAAGGCUCACCAAGGCUUCGAUCAGUAGCUGGUCUGAGAGGAUGAUCAGCCACACUGGGACUGAGACACGGCCCAGACUCCUACGGGAGGCAGCAGUGGGGAAUCUUGCGCAAUGGGCGAAAGCCUGACGCAGCCAUGCCGCGUGAAUGAUGAAGGUCUUAGGAUUGUAAAAUUCUUUCACCGGGGAAGAUAAUGACGGUACCCGGAGAAGAAGCCCCGGCUAACUUCGUGCCAGCAGCCGCGGUAAU
rnacentral:rRNA from 1 species